UUUUUAUUUCCUUACUCUUUUUCCUUGCAUUUUUUCGCAUCUUUUUUUUAUUAUUCACUUCUUACUCAUUUUUUAAUCGUGAAGGAUUUCUUUUCAAUUUUACUGACUUAUCCUUAAACCUAUUUUUGCUCGGUUGAUUUCUGUAUAUAUUGUAAAAUGUGAAUUUUUUUUUUUUUUUGCAUGUACAUAUAAAUACCUAUAAGUCAAUUUAGGAUGUGACACACUAGUCCAUCCUUUAUUGUAUAGGUACAUCUCCAUAUGUGUUCAUUAGCUCGUCUUUUGGUGUGAAACGGUUACAUCCCCAUGUGCCAACUUAGAGUGGGAAACACUAACCCAUCCUUUGUUGUGAAACUGCCACAUAAGCCAACUUAGGGUGAGACACACUAGCACAUCCUUUGUUGUAGAGUUGUAUCCCUAUUUUUUAUUUUUUAUUUUUUAUUUUAUAAUUAUAGACCCAUGAUUAUCUUUAACUUACUAGUCCCUUUUUUUUAACACAAAAUUAAUUGAUUUUUUUUUUUCCUUUUUGUAGAAUCAUUGGUGCACUUUAGAGAAAGUAUUCAUCACUCCAAGAGGCAUCUAAUUAUUUUGGAAGAUAAUAAUUAAUCUACAAGAAGUAAGACUGGUUCGUAGGAAGAUCCUUAAGCUCAAAUUCGGCUUCUAAAAUGUGGUUUUUAAGGUCUACUAUACACCCUUAAGACCCAAUUUGAACUCUAAAUUAACAUAUGGGCGCCACAUGAUAGAUGGUGUCGCACGAUGGGGAUCUAUGUUAACCAUUCUUAGGGAAUUUACCUUCACUGUGGCCUAUUGGGAGUGUCUAGAAUUUUUCAUUGGUUGCAACAAGAGGUUGCUCCAUAAAUCUCAUAUGCUUGAUACAGUGUUGGCCUCCCUUUACACUUACGAUCGUAACAACGACGUGGUUCGUGCUUUUUGUGAAGCUUGAUAUCCAACAACUAACACCAUUCAUACCUAAGGUGGAAAACUAUCUAUCACCCUAUGGGAUCUUUGGACCGUGGGUAGUCUACUCAUUUGAGGAAGAUUUUAUGAAGAGGUCAUCCCUUGCCUUGAAGAGUUGACCGAUCAAUGUAAGGAGUUUAAGGAUGACUAGAAGUACGAAAAAGCCACCUUGUCGAAAGCAGAAGAAAACUUCUUGUUCCAAUUCGACCUACAACCUAGAUAUCAUGAACAAUAGAUAUCACAAUUGGACAGAAGAAGAGGAAAACUUGUUUCGUGAGCUCCACAUUGAAGAGGAAUGGUGGGACCAAACAUAUUUGGUGGCCUUCCUGACCUUUUGGUUCUGCGCCUAUGUGUUCUUUUAAGGGGAUGCUAACCAUGUACGACCUAGUGUUUUUAGAGCCACCUUUUUAAUGGCUGAAGGAAUCACUUUAGCCUAGCAAUCCUUGUUUUGACUAAUAUCUACCAUGGGUAAAGUCUCAUAGGAAACUUCUCCAAUGGGGUAUAUGGAUGCUUGUUUUUCAAUGCAUUAUGUUUCUAAUAGGUUGGUCUACUAUUUUGAUACUAAUUAUAAAACACGGGUGGAAGUUCGAGGGUCCAAAAUGGUUGAUUUUUCUAGCGAAGGCGGAGCCAUAUAUUUUGAUGAAUACGAAGCUCGAAAAUUGAUUCAAAAGGGUGAAUCUAUAGCCUGACACGUGAAUCUUCAACAUGUGGAUUGAAACAAAUACAUGGGAAAUUAAGGCACCUCGGACUUUUCUCCGCCUCAUUCUUUUUAAGCCUUAGGUCAUGCCACGCAUCUUCUCGCUGCAGAGAUAGGUUAAUCAUCAAACCCUAUAGUUUGUAUCGAUUUGGUCGUCAAUUUGGAUUUUAUUAGGAUACACCAAACGAACUUGGGAACACCCUGAAGGUUAAAAUGGACAACAUCUUACACCAUUGGAGGGUUUGUGUCCAUCGUGGUGCUAAGUCUCAAGUAUUUCUUCCAGCUCUUACAUCGGAUACUCAGGAUCAUGUCAUUGCUCGCUUUGAAUUUUGGUGGCUAAACAAGUAUAGGGUAUAUUUGAAGGAGAAUGCAUAUAGAUUGGUAGAUAGCACGAUUCCUCCUUCAACUUAACCCAAACUUCUCAAACAAAGUGGAGCUAAUUUCGGGGUAAAUAACUCCGCUUGAUUGAAAUGCAGCCAUCUGGUGCUUCAAAUCAAUCUAAUGAAUACAUAAAAGCUAAGAACAUUGUCAUUGGAAAAGAGCAAAAAUGUCCAAGGAUACUUUUGACCAUGAUGGCCAAUUUUUUGAACCCGCUCUUGAUAAUUUUCAAACUUCUGGUGACAUGAAAAUUCCAGUUGAGUCACCUUUGAGUACACCUUCAUUUUUCUUCUUGCUUUUUUUUUUUCUUUUACAUUCAUUAUUUAAUUUAUUUUAUUUUUGUUAAGGUUGAUGCCCUAAAU